UCCGCUAAGAUCCGUGUAUUAUACCGAAAGGUGAGCACAGCGGUGUGCACCCGCCCCCAGCUAUCACAUCAAUGUUCUAAGUGCUUUCUUUUUGGAGAAAUGUUUACCUGUCCUUUACAUUCCUAAACUGCGGUCAAUAAGAUUUGAAUUACCCUAGCUACAGCUGUGUGGCCUGAACAAGAAACAACAAGAGAGCUAAACAUUGUUCUGUCAGACGAGACCUCAUCCUCGACCUCGCCGAGCUCCUCAUUUGCUUGAAUUUGUCUUCGGCAUCUGUCUUAGAGGGAAUGUCCAGUCUGUACAUCACCUCCAGGGUCGAGUCGCACACAAGACACAUCUUCAAACCCAAGACGAGGCCGAGGCAGGACCUCAGGACAGAUUCACACACCAUGAAGACCUCUGAGUCUUGCUGUAACGAGGAUGAUGGUAGCUCAUGCUUGAUCUUUUCAAGUCUGGUGAAUGUGUCUGUGUGAAGAAUAAACAAACAUGUCACUAACAUGUCAGAACAGA